rnacentral:tRNA from 1 species
GUGGUUGUACCUCAGUGGUAGAGCACUUGCCUAGUAUGUAUGAGGCACUGGGUUCAAUCCUCAGCACCACA